rnacentral:rRNA from 1 species
GCAGGAAAUUUGAGAGGAGCUGUCCUUAGUACGAGAGGACCGGGAUGGACGCACCGCUGGUGUACCAGUUGUCUUGCCAAAGGCAUAGCUGGGUAGCUACGUGCGGACGGGAUAAGUGCUGAAAGCAUCUAAGCAUGAAGCCCCCCUCAAGAUGAGAUUUCCUUUUGCUUCGGCAAGUAAGAUCCCUGAAAGAUGAUCAGGUAGAUAGGUUCGAGGUGGAAGCGUGGCGACACGUGCAGCUGACGAAUACUAAUCGAUCGAGGACUUAACCCAAA